GGAGAGUGAGCAUUCCUCCUGACAAUAGAGAAGCUACUUGUCUCCACUGCUUGUAAAAUCUGCUGUAUAAUCUUGCAACAUUCUGCUCCUACAUACUAAUUGGGUUGUUUGAGUCUCUGGAGACAACCUAAAAGUAUCCGAAAAUCUUCAGGUCUGCAGUGGUUCCAUCCACUCAUCUGCUCCUUCCACUCUUGUCUCCAUGGCAAGGAAAAAGCAUGUGAAUUGCUUGGUCCCUUGUGAGUCUGGAUCUACACUUGGGCCAGGAGUUCUACCACCUUCUAUUUUUCAUGGCAGUCUGUGAUUUCAAAGAAUAUAAGAGAUGGAUUAAAAGAACACGGUACAAAAACGAAACCCCUGAAAUCUGAAGCCAAUAAAUAACUGGAUUAAGUUUCUUCAGAAACGGAUGUCUCCAGAAACAAGAUGGAAGGUGGUUUAAGUCGGGAGGAUACUGACACUGAGUUAUGACGAUGGACAAAUGAACAUGUAUUUGGAGGACAGGGUCAAUCAGAAUGAAGACAAGCACACAACCCAGGAGCUACUGUGUGCGCUGAGUGAGACUAAAGUAAGAACUUCCUGUGUGCUGUCCCCAGGCGAAGGCUUCUCAGAACCCUGUACUAAGUGGUAAUGCUACACUUCUA